GCCUGGCCCUAAAUCUUGAUGCUCGAUCUUACCGGAGCAUCCGCCCGAGAACUACGAGCACCAACGCUUAAAACUCUAAGGACCUGGCGGUGCUCCAAACCCGCCUAGAGGAGCCUGUUCUGUAAUCGAUGAUCCACGAUAUACCUGACCAUUCCUUGCCAAAUCAGCCUAUAUACCGCCGUCGCCAGCCCACCCAGCAUGAAGGCCCAGCAGUGGACGCAACAGCCUAACCCGCUAAUAAGACAGGUCAAGGUAUAGCCUAUGGAAUGGAGGCAAUGGGCUACAUUUUCUAAGAUAGAACAUCACGGCAAAGGGAUAUGAAACUGUCCCUGGAAGGAGGAUUUAGCAGUAAAGUGGGACAAUCGAGCCCUCUUUAAGCCGGCCCUGGAGCACGU
rnacentral:rRNA from 1 species